rnacentral:sRNA from 1 species
GUGGAGUGGUGCAGUAUUCUAGUCGAUCCGACGUUUCUGAAGGCGAGCCUAAAAAUUCGCCAAAGGGCACAUCGAUGAAGUUCCUUGUGCUGGCUUGAGCCGCCCAGGCUUGGGUUGGUGCUGGGAGUUAAGGUUGAAGGGCGAUCCACAAAGGCAUGUGGGCGACGACCCUCCUUCCGCGGAGGCCCAUCUCUGUAUUUCUUGUUUAGCCAAACAAGGAGUAUGGACUGGGGUAUGAACCUACGGAGCAAGGAUAUGGGAUAUGCUUGUUCGUAGCGUAGCCUGCCUUGAGUGGUACGAAGGGGAUUACAGGUAAGAAGAUGCCUUGUAUUAGGUGGCCACUAAUAUGAAGUGCUUUUUGUAUGAAAUUCGUACUGCAAAAGAGGCUAGGGGGCGUUUAAAGAUUGCCGAGGAAAUCUCCUAGACUGUUCCAAUCGGACAUUUAAAAGGGAUUAUAGUGCGGACUGAGUGGUAAUCCAGUCGAGCUGAUGGUGACAUCGCUAAGGCAGGUUUAAAGGGGAACCGCCAGAGUGGCAACACUCGGUACCUGUCUGGGAAAACCUACUGGACCUAUGCCGCAGUUUUAACUUUUUAAAUGACCAUUCCACCUU